CAGGCGGCUUGGGAGGCGACUCGGCUGGCACCUGAGGCGGGCGAUGAGGGUCGCCCAGACCGCAGAAUCUUCCCUUUCGACGAUCAUGUCGCAGUGGCCUUAAGUCACCGGUACAAAGCUGGGGCAGCCAGGCCAGGUCCCGGAGAAGCGAGCCCUGGGUCCCCGCCGCCGACUGUGGUAACCAAGCCACGGGGAGCCUGGAGAGAUUCUAGAGUCACCUGAGAACUUGGCUGAGGAAAAGGUAUCUGGAGAAUGUAAGGAAGAGGGGAGCACCAUGGAUUUGAACACAUUCGCAGAUGCAUCGCCUCACCUCAGAACUGGGUCCGAGAGGGGCAGACUCCUGACAUCUAUUGCAAAGAGCAAGUCCAGGCUAGGUCCACAAAUGAUGCCUGGUCCUGAUAAACUUCACUAGUAACGCCAACCUCAGACAGCUAGGGAUUGUCCUAUAAACAGGGACAGAAAUGAUGACUUUGGUUCCUAUUCAUUGAAAGUAUUUUGAAGAUCUAAAUGAAUGUGAAGUUUGUACUAGGUGGAACUUCCCUCUUAUUAACAUCAAAAUUCAGG